AAACCAAGUCUUGCAAAAACAUCAAGGGACUUUUCAUGAUCACAUCAUGGGAACUGCUGCGCUAACUAAGCAGGUUCAGAGGAGCUGACACAACAGCCUGUCCCCCAAGAAGAGGGUACCACUGUUCCCUCUGCUCUAAACCCCUGCUAUGGGAAUUGCUGCCCAUCAUGUGCCAUGCAAUGGCCAAAACAGGCACUACUGUCAUCCAGAACCUCUCAGGAUCAGGGGACAGACAACCUCUGUCCUCAGGGUUAUCUGAGAUCUCCCACCCUCCUGAUGGGAAGUGCCCAUUGCUGUGACACUGCAUCCACAGCCACACCAUCCUUGCAGGCUUGGGAACUGUGCAACAGCUUUGGUGACAAUCAAGAUGAUGCUGCUUGUCAACACUAAGCCAAAACAGAUUAUUGUGAUGAGGGAAUCAGAACUCUCCAAGCACAAUCAUGAAAUCUGACCCAAUAGACUCCUGCAGCCUCUCUUGCUAUCAAUCAGCUGUAGGUUAAAUUCUCUCAGAGAAGAAAGCAAUCAAAGUUUAUUUCAGAGUGCAUUGAGAUAAUUCCUAGACCUCACUGAAAUAAAUGAAUGCCUCUCUCACA
rnacentral:lncRNA from 1 species